rnacentral:rRNA from 1 species
UGACCACUGUAGAGAUAUGGUUUUCCCUUCGGGGACAACGGUGACAGGUGGUGCAUGGUUGUCGUCAGCUCGUGUCGUGUGAUGUUGGGUUAAGUCCCGCAACGAGCGCAACCCUUGAUCUUAGUUGCCAUCAUUUAGUUGGGCACUCUAAGGUGACUGCCGGUGACAAACCGGAGGAAGGUGGGGAUGACGUCAAAUCAUCAUGCCCCUUAUGACCUGGGCUACACACGUGCUACAAUGGACGAUACAAACGGUUGCCAACUCGCGAGAGGGAGCUAAUCCGAUAAAGUCGUUCUCAGUUCGGAUUGUAGGCUGCAACUCGCCUACAUGAAGCCGGAAUCGCUAGUAAUCGUAGAUCAGAAUGCUACGGUGAAUACGUUCCCGGGCCUUGUACACACCGCCCGUCACACCACGAGAGUUUGUAACACCCGAAGUCGGUGGGGUAACCUUUUGGAGCCAGCCGCCGAAGGUGGGAUAGAUGAUUGGGGUGAAGUCGUAACAAUGU